AUGACUCUGAAGGGAGGCUUGUGUUUGUAGCAAAAUUAGACCGAAAAAAUUAUUUUUUGUUUCUCUGGCUCUAAUGAAUUUUAUUGCUUAAAUGAAAUGGGAGAUGACUCAAUUUUGAAAUUAAAAAGAAUAUUCCCCAUUUCAGAUCUAUUGAUAAAGAUAGGAAUAAAUUGCCUAUGUGCCAACUAUUAGAAAUUUUCUGUGUGAGAAACUAUGGAUUAUUUUUUUGGCCAAAGUGAUACUGGCAUUAGUAAUUACCUAGCUUACAUUCCCUUAUAUUUUGUAAACUGAAACUAAUAUAUAUUUUUGAAAACUCCGAAUUUUUCAACCCAAGCAAAUACAAACAAUUGAUCACAAAUUUUACUUUUAUAUCUGUUGUCUUGCACCUGUUCUAGAAUGUUUUUUUAUGAUAUAACUCUAAAAUAGUGACCAUGCUUGUUGGUGUUCUUUUUCUCAUUUUGUAAAGUGUUAUUGAAGUCGGCGCCUUCUGAAAAAUUGUUAAUUUAAGGGAUUCCAUCUUGCAUCAAAGGAGAUGUGCACAUCAUAUUUCAUUGAUAUAUCACUACAUGUAUGUAUAUUGUACCUGUAGAUUCAUAUAUCAGAUAUAUACAACAUGAUACUGUAUUGAUGUACAUAUUGAAAACAUCCUCUGGCCCAGUUUAGUGUUUAUUUAACAAGAAAGAGAGUGUGCAUUUACAUUUCUGGUCUGAUCCGCUCCCAAGUGUCAAUACCUGUGAUCAAUUGAUUCUUAGUGUAUGGUUCACAUUUCAACAUUUAAACAGCUGUUAUACAUGCAUUAAUAUGUCACUAAAUAUUCAAUUCAACAUUUGAAAUGAUUUUCCCUUGGAAUUUCAAGCAUUAAAAUUUUUUCCUGUUCUGGUUUUUAAAAAAAUAUUAUGAAUGAAGAAAAAAAACUUUCUUAAAAUGCAUCUUCAAAAAUAACAUGUAAAUCAGUGAUAAAAUGUGAACCAUACACUGUGUGCUGAAAGGUACAUUGUUUAAUUCAUUGGUUCAUCUCUUAAACUAAAGUUUUGUGUAUUCCUGUGCACACAUUCACAUCUAUUUAUAUGACAUCAACUCUAUUACUGUGUUUUGCAACAUUUAAUCUGGGUCAGAUAUUUUUUUUAACUAUCAAAACUACAUGGUGUUUAAGGCGAAACACUCACAAGUUCUACCAUACGUGGGAAAAAACGGGCUAAACAAAAUUAUAUGUGUAACGCAGGGAGAUCGACACUUGUAAAUUAUGUACAGUUUUGUGAAAUGGUGAAUGUUGAGAUGUGCUUGAAUAGCUUGCGGGUGAACUUCCCCGUAAUUUAUCACAUUGAUGUGCAGUACAACUUGUUUUAGCUGAAAUGUACUUAGUCUUAAGUAAAAAAUUCACUUUUGAAAUAUGUGUACUGCAGCAGAUAUUAUGUGGAACCUAUGCUAUCAUUAGAGGGAAGUUUGCCAUUUUGUUUUCAGUUUCUCUUAGAAUAUUUUUUCUAUGCUUACAGUAAUGAUGGGCAGGGUGUGGUUUGUUUUAUGUUGAAAGGUAUCUUUUAUAUGUGGUUAUACUAUCAGGUAUACAUGUCAUUUGAAUAUUGGAUCAUUGUAAACAUAUGAUUUUUCUAUAGGGUUUAAUUUCUUAACUGUCAUAAUAUAAUAAUAAACAAAUGUUUUUCACUGUGAAAUAUACCGGUAUGUACAUUAUUUAAUUCAAAAGAUUUUGUUUAUAAUAUCAAUGUUUUGAAGACCAGACAUUGCUACUAAAAUAUUAAAUGUGUUUUAAAAUGAAAUAAAAACCCAACAUGUCCUAGUACAUGUACUUCAUCUUUUGGACAAAUUAUCACCAUUGAUUAGAUUUGUUUUAAUGAUGUAAUAUUUGUAAUACAUGUAUGUGGGUCUGCAAUAAAAGUUAUACUAGUG
rnacentral:misc_RNA from 1 species